rnacentral:lncRNA from 1 species
AGAUUCAAAGUAGAUAUACCCAUAUACCGGCCAAUGAACAUCCCAUACAUAGUCUACUAUCCCAGUUGCCUAUCAUCCUUUAAAUAAAAAGAACAACAUUUUAUCAUCUAAUAUGUGUAUAUAUACUAUUAUAUAUACAUAUAUGUGCAUGUAUAUAUGUAUACAUGUACAUAUAUACACUAGAGAACAAUGAAAUAGUGAUGGGAAAUGAUAGUGGCCAAAUGUAAGCUUAUUCUUCACAGUUAGAAAUGAGUCUUGAACAUUUCUUUCUGUACUAAAAAAUAAGUAGUCAGUAGUUCCCAUUCACGUGAAUAAGGUAUGAUUAGGCCUGGUAUGGUCUGCACCAGAACAAACACUGGAUUUUUUUUACUCCAUAAUCUUAAGAUCUGAUGCAUGGCUUUCCUGGAAUUGAGCUAAGAAUACACGUUCCUAGGGUUCAUUUCAUAUUAUAUUUUUAAAAAACUGAAAUGACAGCUUUAUGAGAUAUCAGAUAUCCCCAAUAUCUUAUUCUGGUCAGAGGAUGUGUAUGGACCAGAGUGUUACUAAGAACCAUGAAGUAUUAAGAUGGGUAAUAUUGAAUUUUGGGACCUGGAUGCCCUAAGAUAUGCUACAAAAGACUACUAUUUAAAAUAAAUCUAAUUGCAAUGAAAAUUUUAUAGAAUUAUGACCAUAAGCACAGUAGAAUUCUAGUAGGAAAAUCUUGUGUCUUCCUUGGAUUUAUCUGUGAUUGAUUUGUUCAGAGUUGAGUUUUGUGUUCGGUUCUUCUCAUAUAUACUGGUGUUCCAAAUUCUCCAUUUCUUUCAGGCUGUUGAAAUUUAAAGCAAUCUGUUCAUAAUCUUAUAAGAUUCUGCGAAUCUUCUAAGAUUCAGAGACAGUCUGUCCUCGGGUCUCUGUUAGUACGUUAAUAAGAGGCAGAAGGGACAAUUAGUAAGCCCAGAUGCAAGUUUAAGGAUCAGAAUUCGCAUAGGAACUGUUAUGAUUUCUAGAUGUCCCCAGAAAUUAAUGUGCACAGUUACUGGCUCACACAACCCUCUGGAGUUUGAACUAAAAUCGGGCUCACGAAAUCUGUUUGUAAAAAUAUGUUUUCCCUUGACUGAUCUUCUGUCACUCAGACACCCACCUAGCCAUCAGUGCAAUCUAAAGGCUCAAGUGCCUCACAUAAUUUCACACUGUAGAGAGGUGAGGGCACCUGCAAGGACAGCACUGGACGCUCACUGGGAUGAUUGACAUGUUUGGGGCAAAAGAGAAUUUCACAUACAACCAGCUCCACUUUGACUCAGCAUUAGAGUCCAGCAGUUUAUGAGUAGUGGAGAGGGCCUCCAGUACAUCUGUGUGCAACUGUACAUGUGCACACACCCAUGUAUAUAUAUUUAUCUAUCUGUACAAACACUACAUAUGUAUACACACUAUCUAUGUAAUAUAUAAUAUAUGUAUAAUGCAUAUAAAUUCUAACAAGUGUAUUUGUGUUAUCUUUAAAAUAGAACAAUUGUAUCUUGAAGUGAUAAAUACAGAGAAUUGGCUUUAUUGUUGAUCUGUGGAUUUAAUGAUUUUUUUUAGGUGAAAGGAUGUUUUAAGUGUAUAAUUUCUUUUCUUAAUUUAAUAUAUUUAUGUAAAUGCAUGCCUGAGAUUUGAUUAGAUUGGCUGUGUUUUGUGUCUUAACAUGAUCAAAUGUAUUAAACUUUAUCUUAUGACUUCACGUUUGUUGUGCCCUUUCAAACAUUUGUUUUUCUUUUAAAAUUUUAAAAAGUUUCUCCUACAUCUUCAGACUGGCUACACAAACAGUAGUUCUGAAAUACUCUAUUUUCAAGCUACUUCUAAAUGUUAUUGUCUUUCGCCAUUAUUCACAGCUAAUUUUGAGAUUUUCUGCUUAAACAUAAGCUCACUUCAGGGUCAGUUUUGUGGUGUAGAUACAAAGACGCCUUGUUGGUUUCCAUUUGCUCUACAUUGUGACUUGAGCUUGAUCCUUUUGGCUAAAAACUGUCAAGUUAAAGAUGUAAAGAAUGCAACCACUUGUGAUACUGGGUACAAUUGUGAAGAAAGAAGCAGGCAGGGGCAUGGAACGAGGGGAAGGUGGUUACCCCACAACUUUGUGACUCUGUUGUUUGAAUUUCACUUUAAUUUAAGCAAAAAUACCUGUCAAACGUCUGAUCAGUAGAGCUAGAGUGGAGGUUCAGUGGCUAAGAGCCCUUACAACUCUUUCAGAGGAUACAAGGUUGGUCACCUUGUAUCCUUGGCAGGUUCCACUACCCUCUGGCCUCCACUGGCACCAGGCACACGUGUGGUGCGUGUAUACACACACCCAGCAGAUAAUCGCACAGGUUUUAAAAGCCUGACCAGCGGAUAAGAACAUAUAUUAGAAGAGCCAUCGAUCUGCUUCCACAGUAACCCUCUUAUGUCUUCAAUAAACGUGCCUCACUGGCUUCCGG